AAUGAAUGAAUGUAUGAUCUU
rnacentral:snRNA from 1 species